UAUCCAUGGUGUGGACAAUUUUUUUUUGUAUUCCCUAAAUCUUUCCCAAGUAUCUAAAAGAUCUUCAUCUUCUUUUUGUUUAAAAGUUCUUAUCUUGUUUCUUAAGAGA
rnacentral:snoRNA from 1 species